rnacentral:lncRNA from 1 species
GCCCAUGUUCCUGUGGCCCCGGUGGAGCCUGACACUGGGCUGCUGCCCCGGGAUAAACUGGGCCUUGACCAGGGUGUGUUUUUUUCUGGACCAGGCUCAGAAUGUAGCCAUCCAUUUUCUUGCUGGAUGAAGGAUGGGAAGCAGACCACAGACUGCUUGGGGACGGUAUUCCGGAAGCAGUUGAAAGUGAUCGCCUACUGCUCCCUUCUGUUGCCAACGGAAUCUCACUUCCCCCUACUGUUUUGAUUUUUCUUUCCCUUUCUUUUUAAAGCAGGUGCUGGUACUUCUUCCUCCACUAGUGCUAUUUCAUUAUCUCCUUUCUAAUGUUGUUCAGCCCUAGUUGGUUCUUUUGCUUUCCCUGGACACGCCUGUCUGCUCAGAAAAACUGUUAAUUGACACUCAGAAAGUGUACCACUAACGAUGGGGUGGACCUGCUGCCUGGAUGAUCUGGAGAGUAAGAUAAAGUUGCCAGCAUGAAAAAGAGUCUUGGCUGAAUAUAUUACAGUGGUGUUAACUUAUGCUUGAAGAUCUUUCCUGGGCAGAGCCAGAACAUGUCCCUCAUAUCACACAGUCUGAUGCUUUGUCCUUAGGCAGAACAGCUCCUAACAGCACCCCCACCAAAGUCUGAGCAUCAUUCUACAAAUGCCUUGUCCAGCGGUGAACAUUCUAUUGCAGCCAAGCAAAGUAAGGGGCAUCAGUUGCACAUUUUGCCAUCAAGCAAAGCAACAAAAUGAUGCCUUGCAGCUUUUAUGGCCAAACAAACACAAAUGAUGUAAUUGGGAAAAGCUGUCUCCGAAUAGGAGGAAAAGAGUAAAGGGCAAUCCUUUGAGCUGGAGAGAUGACCACCAUUCGAGGGUCUGGGAUCAAAGCCCCAGCCAGACAUCAAAGCCCAUUUGAGUCUAAUGCCAAAAAAGCCACAGUGAAUUAAACUUCAUAUAUAAACUAAUUAUAGCUUGACCCCACAAUCAGGCUUCAGUGAGCACACAGGGGAAAGAAAGCAGACAUUGAAACAAAAGAUCAAGAAAAAAGAAGCGUGGUAGCAAAAUGGGGCAACAUCAUGGCCCUGAAAAUUUUAAACAUCUUUUGAGGGCAGAAGGGAAUAGGGGAAUAGCAGAAGAAACAGCAAAUGUUUGACAAUGCUGGUCUUGUUUGAAAGGCUAUGAAACAACUCCUUCCAUCCUCUCUGGUGCACAACCAAACACUACCAAAUAAACCAUCCUACAUGAAAAGGUUACCUUUUAGCUGUGUUUUAGUGCUGUUAAAGAGGUUUUUGUUGAAGAAGGCCAG